rnacentral:rRNA from 1 species
CUCGAGACGGCGGGGUAGAGGCCCGCCGCGGUAACGACGGGUAACGGGGGAAUCAGGGUUCGAUUCCGGAGAGGGAGCCCGAGAAACGGCUACCACUUCCAAGGAAGGCAGCAGGCGCGCAACUUACCCUAAUCUCGAUUCGAGGAGGUAGUGACAAGAAAUACCGAUGCGGGACCCUACGGGUGCCGCGUUCGGAAUGAGUACGAUUCGAACCACCUAACGAGGAACGAUCGGAGGGCAAGUCUGGUGCCAGCAGCCGCGGUAAUUCCAGCUCCAAUAGCGUACGUUAAAGUUGCUGCAGUUAAAAAGCUCGUAGUUGAACGUUCGGGUUCCGCGGGACGGGGCCGCCCCGCGAGGGACGGCGCCGCCCCGGGGCUCGUGAUAUCUCAUCUCGCCGCCCGUCGCGAGGCGGACGGAGGGGAUGGAUGAGGUUACCUGGAAAAAAUCGGGGCG